AGAAAAAAAAAAAAGCAGUGUGGGACAGAAUUGGACAUUCCUUGCAUGAAACUAAUAAGAGGGCUGUCUGCAUAUCUCCACUAUCAGAUGAGGGGGCAGCCCUUCAAUCUGCAUUAUGAAGUGAAGCCUUUGUAACCUUCGUGUGGGCAGGUCCUGAGUAUUAUUUAUUUUUUACAUAAAUUCCUAUUAUUUGAAUAAAUAAUGAGAAAGCAGGCCAUUUUUUUUGGCUUGUUUUUCUUGUUGAGCUGAGCUCAAAAAAGAGGGAUUAGAGCUUGUUUGAGCUUUAGUUGGGUAUCAAAGAGACUAAUUGAAUUUCAACAGGGCAAAUUCACUUCCUUACUUUGUUUAUACCUUAAACGUUGAUCCUAGGAAUUCCUGAAAUUCAUAUGCAAGACUGCUUUUUCCGAGUGCCUUGUAGUGCAAUAUUGUCUUCUUUCUUAGUUUGUUACAAUUAUGGGAAUCAGGCAAGCAGCCACUCUUAAAAGAUUGGAGUUGCUAAUUACCGUGCAUUUUGGAGAUAAACUGUAUGUCUUUAACUUGUUUUCUUGUAUGUCAAGGAUGGACAAUUUGAUCGGGAGAACUUCAAUUGUGGACCAAGCAUGCCUUCGUCACCUGGAGAAACACUUUGUGCAGCAGUUUCUGCUUCCACAUGGGUGGAACCUCAUGGAAAGUGUACGGUUGCAUUUGCUCUUGCGUGGUCAUCGCCAAAGAUAAAAUUCUCAAAAGGAAGCUCAUAUCACAGGUGAAUCUAUGAUAAACCUUUUUAUUUUUCACGUUCUUCAGUGCAUGUUUGUGUUUUUCUAUAAUCUUGGGUUGCACACCUAUGGCAGUGCAGUGAUGGCUAACAAUCAAGUAUUUGAUUGUGGCUUUCUGGAGAUUAUUAUUUGUCUUCUUCUUUUACCAAAUGGAGAGCUUGACCUUACAUUGCUUUCAAACUUAAUGAUUUAGCAGAAUGGCCUUUUUGUUUUUCAUGUUCUCUCUGUAAAUUAUGUUUUUUGGGAUCGAAAGACCAAAACAAUUUGUAGCAAAUCCCAAAUAGUGCAGAGAUAGUUAUGAUGAAUCAUAUUUGAUUUUGGCUGUUUUUUGUACAUUUUGGUC
rnacentral:misc_RNA from 1 species